ACAUGCAAGUAGAACGCUGAAGAGAGGAGCUUGCUCUUCUUGGAUGAGUUGCGAACGGGUGAGUAACGCGUAGGUAACCUGCCUUGUAGCGGGGGAUAACUAUUGGAAACGAUAGCUAAUACCGCAUAACAAUGGAUGACACAUGUCAUUUAUUUGAAAGGGGCAAUUGCUCCACUACAAGAUGGACCUGCGUUGUAUUAGCUAGUAGGUGAGGUAAUGGCUCACCUAGGCGACGAUACAUAGCCGACCUGAGAGGGUGAUCGGCCACACUGGGACUGAGACACGGCCCAGACUCCUACGGGAGGCAGCAGUAGGGAAUCUUCGGCAAUGGGGGCAACCCUGACCGAGCAACGCCGCGUGAGUGAAGAAGGUUUUCGGAUCGUAAAGCUCUGUUGUAAGUCAAGAACGGGUGUGAGAGUGGAAAGUUCACACUGUGACGGUAGCUUACCAGAAAGGGACGGCUAACUACGUGCCAGCAGCCGCGGUAAUACGUAGGUCCCGAGCGUUGUCCGGAUUUAUUGGGCGUAAAGCGAGCGCAGGCGGUUUGAUAAGUCUGAAGUUAAAGGCUGUGGCUCAACCAUAGUUCGCUUUGGAAACUGUCAAACUUGAGUGCAGAAGGGGAGAGUGGAAUUCCAUGUGUAGCGGUGAAAUGCGUAGAUAUAUGGAGGAACACCGGUGGCGAAAGCGGCUCUCUGGUCUGUAACUGACGCUGAGGCUCGAAAGCGUGGGGAGCGAACAGGAUUAGAUACCCUGGUAGUCCACGCCGUAAACGAUGAGUGCUAGGUGUUGGAUCCUUUCCGGGAUUCAGUGCCGCAGCUAACGCAUUAAGCACUCCGCCUGGGGAGUACGACCGCAAGGUUGAAACUCAAAGGAAUUGACGGGGGCCCGCACAAGCGGUGGAGCAUGUGGUUUAAUUCGAAGCAACGCGAAGAACCUUACCAGGUCUUGACAUCCCGAUGCUAUUUCUAGAGAUAGAAAGUUACUUCGGUACAUCGGUGACAGGUGGUGCAUGGUUGUCGUCAGCUCGUGUCGUGAGAUGUUGGGUUAAGUCCCGCAACGAGCGCAACCCCUAUUGUUAGUUGCCAUCAUUCAGUUGGGCACUCUAGCGAGACUGCCGGUAAUAAACCGGAGGAAGGUGGGGAUGACGUCAAAUCAUCAUGCCCCUUAUGACCUGGGCUACACACGUGCUACAAUGGUUGGUACAACGAGUUGCGAGUCGGUGACGGCGAGCUAAUCUCUUAAAGCCAAUCUCAGUUCGGAUUGUAGGCUGCAACUCGCCUACAUGAAGUCGGAAUCGCUAGUAAUCGCGGAUCAGCACGCCGCGGUGAAUACGUUCCCGGGCCUUGUACACACCGCCCGUCACACCACGAGAGUUUGUAACACCCGAAGUCGGUGAGGUAACCUUUUGGAGCCAGCCGCCUAAGGUG
rnacentral:rRNA from 1 species